UACGGGGGGGGCAAGCGUUGUUCGGAAUUACUGGGCGUAAAGGGCUCGUAGGUGGCCAACUAAGUCAGACGUGAAAUCCCCAGGCUCAACUUGGGAACUGCGUCUGAUUCUGGAUGGCUUGAAUUCGGGAGAGGGAUGCAGAAUUCCAGGUGUAGCGGUGAAAUGCGUAGAUAUCUGGAGGAAUACCGGUGGCGAAGGCGGCAUCCUGGACCGAUAUUGACACUGAUGAGCGAAAGCUAGGGGAGCAAACGGG
rnacentral:rRNA from 1 species